rnacentral:rRNA from 1 species
AGGAUGAACGCUGGCGGCGUGCCUAAUACAUGCAAGUCGAGCGAAUGGAUUGAGAGCUUGCUCUCAAGAAGUUAGCGGCGGACGGGUGAGUAACACGUGGGUAACCUGCCCAUAAGACUGGGAUAACUCCGGGAAACCGGGGCUAAUACCGGAUAACAUUUUGAACUGCAUGGUUCGAAAUUGAAAGGCGGCUUCGGCUGUCACUUAUGGAUGGACCCGCGUCGCAUUAGCUAGUUGGUGAGGUAACGGCUCACCAAGGCAACGAUGCGUAGCCGACCUGAGAGGGUGAUCGGCCACACUGGGACUGAGACACGGCCCAGACUCCUACGGGAGGCAGCAGUAGGGAAUCUUCCGCAAUGGACGAAAGUCUGACGGAGCAACGCCGCGUGAGUGAUGAAGGCUUUCGGGUCGUAAAACUCUGUUGUUAGGGAAGAACAAGUGCUAGUUGAAUAAGCUGGCACCUUGACGGUACCUAACCAGAAAGCCACGGCUAACUACGUGCCAGCAGCCGCGGUAAUACGUAGGUGGCAAGCGUUAUCCGGAAUUAUUGGGCGUAAAGCGCGCGCAGGUGGUUUCUUAAGUCUGAUGUGAAAGCCCACGGCUCAACCGUGGAGGGUCAUUGGAAACUGGGAGACUUGAGUGCAGAAGAGGAAAGUGGAAUUCCAUGUGUAGCGGUGAAAUGCGUAGAGAUAUGGAGGAACACCAGUGGCGAAGGCGACUUUCUGGUCUGUAACUGACACUGAGGCGCGAAAGCGUGGGGAGCAAACAGGAUUAGAUACCCU